rnacentral:rRNA from 1 species
GAUGAACGCUGGCGGCGUGCCUAAUACAUGCAAGUCGAGCGAACGGACGAGAAGCUUGCUUCUCUGAUGUUAGCGGCGGACGGGUGAGUAACACGUGGAUAACCUACCUAUAAGACUGGGAUAACUUCGGGAAACCGGAGCUAAUACCGGAUAAUAUUUUGAACCGCAUGGUUCAAAAGUGAAAGACGGUCUUGCUGUCACUUAUAGAUGGAUCCGCGCUGCAUUAGCUAGUUGGUAAGGUAACGGCUUACCAAGGCAACGAUGCAUAGCCGACCUGAGAGGGUGAUCGGCCACACUGGAACUGAGACACGGUCCAGACUCCUACGGGAGGCAGCAGUAGGGAAUCUUCCGCAAUGGGCGAAAGCCUGACGGAGCAACGCCGCGUGAGUGAUGAAGGUCUUCGGGUCGUAAAACUCUGUUAUUAGGGAAGAACAUAUGUGUAAGUAACUGUGCACAUCUUGACGGUACCUAAUCAGAAAGCCUCGGCUAACUACGUG